AAAAAUUUAGUUAAAAAAUAACAUCAACCUGUCAUGUUGAAAUUAUCGAAAGAUAAUUUUUU
rnacentral:tRNA from 1 species